UCGCGGUUCUACCGCUCCGCUCAUGCCCGCGGCCGAACCCUCCCCCGCAUCCCACAGCCGCCGACGCUCACCUUCCAUCCUCCCCGCAGCCCGCAGCCGCCAACGCUCACCUUCCAUCCCCGCGGAUCCCACGCUCCCUCGGGCGCUCCUUCCGCGCCCGCCCACAGAUCUCCCAUCGACGUCGAUGCUCUGCGAUUAAGCCCAGCUAAACUCGCGCGGUUUGGCUUUGGCGCAGCGCUGGAGCUCUCGAGACGCUCGCUUGGCGCCGAAGCGGACGAGGAGCAGUUGUCGGCGUCCGCUGCCGUGUCCUCAGCUCCGCCAUCUCCUUCUCCAGCUCGACGAUCCUCUGCUUCCUGCUCGUGAACUCCAGCGCGGCAGCGUCGAGCUCGGCGCACAGCCACCCGUUCUCGGCUUCCACCCGCUCUGCGGUGUCCCUGCACCUCUGGAGCUCGGUCUUCUUGGCCGCGAGCUCGGCCUCCAGGACUGCGCCAAAGCCAAACUGCUACUGCUACAACUCCGCCGUGCUCUCCAUGGAAGCUUCUGCGCCUAGAUCAACAGCGUUCGGCCGCUGGUGCCCGGCGCUAAGCUCCACGCCGUCAUCGAGCGUGGCACAGUGAUUCCGUCCUCGACCUCCCCUUCCUCUGCAACAUGUCCAGGACCGGGAACUAGUAGUGGGAGGAUCACCGUCCACCGUCGAGCGUCUGCAAGGCAAAUCAGAUCAACCACCACAUCGGAGUGAAAAGUCUGCGCCACUCUGCCUCACACAGCCAAAAAAUGUAUCAGGUGAUUAAGAACCAUCCCAGCUCAUUGAAGCUUUAUGAGCAGAAACUGCUAGGAACGAGUGAAGUCAUGAAAGAAGAUGUCCAGAGGAUCCAUGACAAGGUGAACCGAAUCUUGAACGAAGAGUUUGCUAAGAGCAAAGACUACGUUCCCAACAAGAGGGAUUGGCUCUCAGCUUACUGGACUGGCUUUAAGUCACCAGAGCAAAUAUCACGUGUUCGCAACACUGGAGUGAAGCCUAAAAUACUGAAACGUGUAGGUCAGGCAAUUACUACACUGCCUGAAAACUUCAAACCACAUAGAGCAGUGAAGAAGAUUUUUGAGCUGCGUGCAGCUAUGAUAGAGAGUGCUCAAGGAAUUGAUUGGGCUGUUGCCGAAGCCCUGGCCUUUGCAACACUUAUAGUGGAAGGCAAUCAUGUUAGGCUAAGUGGACAGGAUGUGGAAAGAGGAACUUUCAGCCAUCAGCAUGCAGUUCUGCAUGAUCAGGAAACUGGAGCAAAGUACUGCCCACUUGACCAUGUUGCAAUGAAUUAAAAUGAGGAGCUAUUUAUUGUUAGCAACAGAGACUAGUUGGAGCUUCAUUGUUGAUUUUUGCAAAUAAGCAAGACAUGCAAGGAGCUCUAAAACCAACUGGAAUCACGAAGGUAAGCGAACUUCAGUCAUUUAUUAUAUGCAUUAGAGACAUGUUUUCCUAUCUAUGACAUCAUUUUUAACUUGUACUAUGUUUUUCCGGUCCUCAUGGUUGCCAAGAUUUUACUUAGUUCGAUGUGGGAGCAAAAGGAUAUGCCAAAUUGAAUGUAGUUUCAUCAAUUAUGCUCAAUUAUGGAUGUUCAGAGGCAUCCAAUUUCAGUGUGUACUGCAAUACUUGGGUCCACCUGUACUUGGUAGAUGUUCUGCAUUUUGUUUUCUUAUAAAUUAGAUUUGGCUUCCAUUAUGUUGUUCUCUUUCGGAACAGUCACUCUCUGAUAGCUCAUCGCCGCCUGGUUCUCCCGCCGGUACACAAGGUUUAAGAAGCGCUCCGCGGACUUCCACGGCCGCGCCGCCGAUCUCGUCCACGGCCUCCGGGGCACGGCGAUGCCCAGGAGACAGGCCCUCAAGGAAGAGCAGUGCAGAGAAGAGAAAGGUAUCUCGACUAUUCCAAAGCACAAGUAUGCAUCCAAAGCCUGUUCCCCAAAAGGAUCGAAAGGAACUUCAACCUGAACCAGCGAGAGUAUCGAUACAAAGACUGUUUGAAAUCUUCUAGAAAUGACAUCGAAUGGAACUUCAAGCUGAACAAGCGAAAGCAUCUAUACAAAGACUGUCUGAAAUCUUCUAGGUAACAACAGCCAUGACUUCGAACAUAUUGUAUUCUACCUUUUCAGAUUUUCUUGUUUUUAAUGGUAUCACAAUUAUUGUGCUAUUGUGAAUAAACCACUUGUAAUGCUGUUUUGCUCA